rnacentral:sRNA from 1 species
CUAACCAUAAAGCUUGGUGAGGAUGAGU